AGGAAUAUUGGUCAAUGGGCGCGAGCCUGAACCAGCCAAGUAGCGUGCAGGAUGACGGCCCUAUGGGUUGUAAACUGCUUUUAUAGGGGGAUAAAGUGUGGGACGUGUCCCAUAUUGCAGGUACCCUAUGAAUAAGGACCGGCUAAUUCCGUGCCAGCAGCCGCGGUAAUACGGAAGGUCCGGGCGUUAUCCGGAUUUAUUGGGUUUAAAGGGAGCGUAGGCCGUCUGUUAAGCGUGUUGUGAAAUGUCGUGGCUCAACCGGGGCACUGCAGCGCGAACUGGCAGACUUGAGUGCACGGUAGGAAGGCGGAAUUCGUCGUGUAGCGGUGAAAUGCUUAGAUAUCACGAAGAACUCCGAUUGCGAAGGCAGCUUACCGGAGCGCAACUGACGCUGAGGCUCGAAAGCGCGGGUAUCGAACAGGAUUAGAUACCCUGGUAGUCCGCGCGGUAAACGAUGGAUGCCCGCCGUUGGGUUUUAGAAUUCAGCGGCCAAGCGAAAGCGUUAAGCAUCCCACCUGGGGAGUACGCCGGCAACGGUGAAACUCAAAGGAAUUGACGGGGGCCCGCACAAGCGGAGGAACAUGUGGUUUAAUUCGAUGAUACGCGAGGAACCUUACCCGGGCUUGAAUUGCAGGAGAACGAUCCAGAGAUGGUGAGGCCCUUCGGGGCUCCUGUGAAGGUGCUGCAUGGUUGUCGUCAGCUCGUGCCGUGAGGUGUCGGCUCAAGUGCCAUAACGAGCGCAACCCCUGUCCAUAGUUGCCAUCAGGUCGUGCUGGGCACUCUGUGGAGACUGCCGCCGUAAGGUGUGAGGAAGGUGGGGAUGACGUCAAAUCAGCACGGCCCUUACGUCCGGGGCUACACACGUGUUACAAUGGGGCAUACAGCGAGUUGGAUGUGCGCAAGUACGUCCGGAUCAAUAAAGUGCCUCUCAGUUCGGACUGGGGUCUGCAACCCGACCCCACGAAGCUGGAUUCGCUAGUAAUCGCGCAUCAGCCAUGGCGCGGUGAAUACGUUCCCG
rnacentral:rRNA from 1 species